rnacentral:rRNA from 1 species
UGGUGGAGUGAUUUGUCUGGUUAAUUCCGUUAACGAACGAGACCUCAGCCUGCUAAUUAGUUGAACCAAUGUCUCAUUGGUCUUAGCUUCUUAGAGGGACUAUCGGUUUUCAACCGAGGGAAGUAUGAGGCAAUAACA